UACGUAGGGGGCGAGCGUUGUCCGGAGUUACUGGGCGUAAAGCGCUUGUAGGCGGUCCACCAAGUUUGGGGUGACAGUUGCCGACUUAAUCGGCAAAGUGCCUCAAAGACUGGCGGACUUGAGGGCCACAGAGGGACAUGGAACUCCAGGUGUAGUGGUGAAAUGCGUAGAUAUCUGGGAGAACACCAAAGGCGAAGGCAGUGUCCUGGGUGGUCGCUGACGCUGAGAGGCGAAAGCCAGGGGAGCGAACGGG
rnacentral:rRNA from 1 species